GAUACCAAUUGUAACACCUUCAUAUAAUAUACAUCUAAAAAAAUAUAUUACAUAUAAUGUAAUUUGGUACUGAUACACAUAAGUGCCUAUCGGCAAUAUUAUAUAUACAUGUAGAAACGAAUAAUAUACAAUAUGGCACAUGGUAUACAAAGGUGCCUAGACAAAAAAUAAUAUCUAUGUACAAUAUCCAUAUAUGCACACAAGAUACAUGAGAAGAUCAUCAUAUCAAAAACCUUUGAAACAUCAUCAUGCAAGCUUAUCAUUGCCCUACACUUGCAAAGAACCGCCUGAAAAGCAACAAUAAUAAAGAGGGGAGAUAAUAAUCUCGGUGGGUUCCCUAUCUUAUGGGUCCACUCGACUCUAAAGGGCUAAUAUUUAAACCUCAACUUAAGCUUCUCGGUAAAACAAUAAAUGUGUACACUUAUACAAUAGAGAAGGACUUGAGCAUCUAAGGGAUAUUCACAUUGUAUGAAAACAUGUAAUUUGAGUUCAUAUUACUCAAUUUAUUCAGAAAUUUUCACAAAGUAUAUUUCCCUGACCGAACCUACGUCUAGAGAACGACUUAUGUGACAUAUGUUUGUAUAAUUCUACUUUUGUAUGGAUGCAGGUUCCCCGUGGAACUCGAACCCACAUCAAGAACCGUCACUCGUAUGGGACUCGAACCCACUUAGAGUAUAUUUCCUUGUAUGGGACUCGAACCCACCGAGAGGUCCACCUCUCCUCUAUGGGACUCAACCCAUAGUUGAGACUCAAACCCAGUGUGAGGCAGGAAUCAUUGGUGCACAUAUCCCAAUUCUACUUUACAUAUGCAUCUCAAUUGGGAUGUGCACGAUCAAGGGUUAUUUUUUAAUACGUGAUUAGGUUCCAACAUUCAACGUGAUUGCACUCAUUAAUCACUAGGUGAUCAUAUUCACCAAUUCUCAUAUCAUCAUAACAUGUUCCAUACAAGGCCUAUUGACUCAUAAUUCAAGCGACUACUCGUCCACGGUACACACUGAGGUAUCUUCGCGUCCAAGCAUCACCACCUAAGUCAUUUUCAUAACCUAUGUCUUUGUUAUUAGCUUAUUCACCUAGUUAUUAACCUAGGUUCGCCUCACUUUUCAUCAUAGUUAAUUCAACCAUUAUCCAUUCAAGACAAACAACAAUUUGUAAUAUAGUUCAUAACAUAAGCAUAAUAAUUCAUCACCACUCAUCAAGGAUUAUUUAAUAUACAUGCAUGAUUUCUUCAUUAAAGGAUAUAGUAUUGAUUAGCUUUCCAAUGCAUUCGACCUUGUGUCAAUCGAAGUUAUGGUUCUCGCUUUAUGGUGGAAAGGAAAACACAAAUCACCUUUUAACAUAUCAGAAUCCUUGCUCAGCGAGCUUAGGGAGAGCUCCAAGCAAGGCAAGUGUUGCGGCUGGAAAAAUGACAGAGUUGUCACCAUCCUUUAUUCGUUCCUAAGGAACAGGUAAAUAAUGAUAAAACCUAUGACUAAGGUGAGAUAUUAGGUUCGGGGGUCAGUUAAAUAAGAGGAAGGUGUUAGGCAUCCCUUAAGGUGAGAUGUUGUAAACUCUAUGCCUACGUACCUUCGCAUUAGGCGAAGGAUCAGAGUACCGUAGUUCUUCUUUAAAAUGUUGGUUGAUUGAUUGUUUUUAUCCCUUAAAAGUUCUCACGCAUCGGGGGCGGAGAAGUGUUUCUUUUAAAUGCCUUAAUACACUAGGAUAAAGGUCUUACGAUUUGACGUGAGUUUGAAUUGAUUUUAUCCAUUUAUCCCUUGCAAAAAAUAUUGUUUUAAUUUAUUUAAGAAAAUAAAUUAGGAGUCAUAGUUAUGUAUUAGAUAUAACCCUUUAUCCCGAUUUAACCCUUGAAAACCUUAGAGUUUUAUACCAUGUUCUUGUCCCAUUUGAUUUGAAAAUAUAAUUUAAUUUAAUUAAGAAAGAUAAAUUAAAUAAGAUGCAAUAAGAUGUAUCCCAUAUCCCGAUUUUAUCCCUAAUUUAUAUCCCUUAAAACCCUAGAAAUUAUCCCUGAAAUUUAUCCCAUAAAUCCUAGAACUUUUCCUAGAAUGUUAUCCCAUAAAUUAAUCCUAAUUCUCUAAUUAAAUAAUAUCCCAUGAUUAGACCUAUUUUUUAUUCCUUAUUAUUUAAAAGGAGAUAUCCUAAUUUUUAAACUAAUUAAUUUCAAAUUAACCCAAUUAUUUCCAAUUAUGCUAAUUAAUUACUAAUUUAAAUUAUACUUAAUUAAACAUUUUGUAUUUUUUUAUAGACUAAAACAUUUUCAUAUUUUUUUAAGAAUUAUGAAUCAAACACCAAUUAAAAUGUAACUUUAUAAACAUUUUGUAUUUUUUUAUAGACUAAAACAUUUUCAUAUUUUUUUAAGAAUUAUGAAUCAAACACCAAUUAAAAUGUAACUUUAACUGUGGAAUCCAAGUGCACCUUCAGUAAGUAAAAAAAAACAUAUCAUGCUCUUCAAUUGAUUUAUACAGCAUCUCAUUUUCUCUUGUUCUCAAAUUGGACCCCUCAACCAAUCAUCCAUCGACACCUGGCCAAAUACAAAUAUUAAAUAAUGCAAAAUUAAUAGAAACAAAUAUUUCCUCAAAUAUGCAUGUGAUGGAAAAAGGGGAUUUUUUUUUAAAAAUAAUCAUGUUUUUUAAAAAAAAUACGAAAAUAAUCAACUUUUCAAAAAAAAAUCCAAAAUAACCAUGUUUGGGGAGGAUGCGCCGGGGGAGUUGGCGCACCCCCCAAAAAAUAAGAGGAGGCGCCAGAUGCAUUGGGCAAUAUGAAGAGGCGCCAAUGCUUGUGGCGCCUCUACAUGGCCCUCCAAGAGAAAGGGCCAAUACUGGCGCCUAUGUGUCUCUUUUGAAAAGAAAAUUUAAUUUUCCAGACAACAAGAAUCAAACACACAACCUUUGGAUCAAUAGUGAAACACGUUACCAUUGCACCACAAACCCUUCAUGUUAAUUUGUUUCAUCAUAUAUUUAAUAUACCGUGUAUAAUUACUUAAAAGGAGAUAUCCUAAUUUUUAAACUAAUUAAUUUCAAAUUAACCCAAUUAUUCCCAAUUAUGCUAAUUAAUUACUAAUUUAAAUUAUACUUAAUUAAACAUUUUGUAUUUUUUUAUAGACUAAAACAUUUUCAUAUUUUUUUAAGAAUUAUGAAUCAAACACCAAUUAAAAUGUAACUUUAUAAACAUUUUGUAUUUUUUUAUAGACUAAAACAUUUUCAUAUUUUUUUAAGAAUUAUGAAUCAAACACCAAUUAAAAUGUAACUUUAACUGUGGAAUCCAAGUGCACCUUCAGUAAGUAAAAAAAAAAACAUAUCAUGCUCUUCAAUUGAUUUAUACAGCAUCUCAUUUUCUCUUGUUCUCAAAUUGGACCCCUCAACCAAUCAUCCAUCGACACCGUGGGAGUUGGCGCCAGAUGCAUUGGGCCUUUAGUGAAACACGUUACCAUUGCACCACAGACCCUUCAUGUUAAUUUGUUUCAUCAUAUAUUUAAUAUACCGUGUAUAAUUACAAUAGAUUAAUAAAUUAAUUAAACUUAGUUGGACCACGUGCAUGAAAUUCUGAAAGAACACAAACAACAAGUAAUUAUUUUUAUUAACUUCCAAUAUUCCAAUACUAUCUAAUACAAAUUGCUAUUUCCAUUUUAAAUUAUAUGUUACUCCUAUUUUGUAAAAUAUUUUGUUUUAUAUUUUAAGUUGUUUUGCAAUAUAAAUUAAAUAUUAAUAAGUUUUUCUUAUCAUACUAUCUACUAUUUAUAUUAUUCUUUUAUUUCAUCAUCUUUUCAUAUCAUUAAUAAAUGAUAUAUAAUUUAUUUAUUUAUAAAAUUAAUUAUAAUCUAAAUUUGUGUGAAAUAUCAUAAAGAAAUUAUUAUUUAGGACGAAGAAAGUAUCUCAUUUAAGUUAUGCACGAUUUUUAAAAAAUAAUUGAUAGUAUUUAUUUUAUUAUUAAAAUAAAUCUGAUUUAUUAUAAUGUUUUAUUUUUAAAAAAUAUAUUGUUCUUUUUUCAUUUUAUUAAAUUUUAUCUCUAUUCUUUAAUUUUUAAAAAUAUUAUAUAUUAAUAUAUUCAAAUUAAUAUUCAAUUAUUUUGUGUUUUAUUUUAUAAUGUAUUUAUAUUUUAUUAAUUUUUUAUAUAUUAAAUAUUUAAGUAUUAUUUUAUAUAACUUAGACAUGUAUUAAUAUAUUAUAUUAUUUAUAAAAAGUAAUAUAAUAUUUAAAAAUAUAUUAUAUUUAAAAUAAUAUAAUUUUUCAAUUGUAUUUAUAAUAAAUAUUAUGAAGUUUUAUUUGAAUUUUUGUGUAAAAAUUAAUAUAAAAAAUAAUAUGUUUAAGGUUGAAUAAUUCAAAAAAUUUAAAGAGGGGUAAUAAUUUUUAAACGCAUAAUACAAUGUAAACAACCCUAUAAAAUCCAAGAUAGUUUGAAUUGGUGUAUUUAAUAUCGAAUAAUUUAUUUUUGAUGUAUUUAAUAUCGAAUAAUCCAUUUUUGGUGUAUUUAAUAUCGAAUAACCCGUUUUAUCAGCUAUACAUACUCGGUCGAAAGGUGUUGGAUAGUUUUAUAUUGAUUAUAAAUAAAUUAUAUAAAUAUUGAAGAAUAUAAUUCAUAUAUUUAAGAUAUUAAAAUUUAAAAUAAAAAUUUAGUGUCUUUCUCUUAUGAUCUAAGAACAAUGGCUCAUUAAAUAUAUGAUGAAACAAAUUAACAUGAAGGGUUUGUGGUGCAAUGGUAACGUGUUUCACUAUUGAUCUAAAUGUUGUGUAUUUGAUUCUUGUUGGUUGCAAAAUUAAAUUUUCUUUUCAAAAGAAACACAUAGGUGCAAAAUUAAAUUUUCUUUUCAAAAGAAACACAUAGGCACCAGUUGUAUUGGCGCCUCCUCUUGGAGGGUCAUGCAGGCGCCUUUUCAUGAGGCCCAAUGCAUGUGCGCCACGCCUCCUCUUAUUUUUUUGGGGUGCCAACUCCCUCGGCGCAUCCUCCCCCAAACAUGGUUAUUUUGAAAAAAAAAUUGAAAAGUCGGUUAUUUUCGUAUUUUUUUUGAAAAAAAUGGUUAUUUUAAAAAAAAAUAUGGAAAAAGGGGGUCGUCCCUUUACAUCCCUCUCUCCCAAUUCAUUAAUCUUCCUCUGUGCUUAUGAAACAGAGAAAAAAAAAGUCCACUCCAAUUUAUAAUAAAUUCAUGCUCUCAAACAAAUAUCAAACCAGAACAAUACACAAUCAAUCAUAACAACAAUUAGAUUCAAUAGAAAGGAAAAGUGAAUCUUACAAAAAUAUGACGAAUUCGAAAGAAACUGCGGUGACUGCGGGAGGAGAGCGACGGUUGAGGGGAGGUGUGGUCGUAUUCGUCUUCAACGGCGAUGUUGUUGAGGUUGAGUGUGAUGUUCGUCGGAAGGUCGUUGACGACCGGAUCUGGCAUCGUCGGUAGAGCGACUGGAAGUUCGACGACACGCGUCGUGAUUUGGAAGCAGCUUUUGGCAGUGUUGUGUUCGUGGGUGUAUCGAUCUCCUCUUCCUUCUAUUUUUUUUUUUUUUUGAAUCCAAGUGUUUACGAAAUUGAAUUAUAUUCUUUUGAUUUAUGUUUUGGAAUUGUGAAUGAAUGUUAGUGAAGGUAUGGAAAGUUUUAUGAAGAUGAUGUUAACGUUGAACGAAAAUUGGUUUCUAGAGGUAAUUGAUUUUCUUGAAAAGUUGUUUAUUGGUGUUGAGAUAAUGGCAUUUAUAGAAGAAUAACAAAACUAGGAUUUGACUUUUGACUCAAAGAUAGAAAAAAGGUUCUGUGUAGAUUGCAGUAUGUGAAGUUUUUACUUGUGUGAGAGGAAUAGAUAUGUGUAGUGAUAUGUGUAAGAAUUGGUGGAAUUGUGUUAUGCUUGUAGUGAGAGUAUUGUGGUUUGAGAGGAGAAUUUUGCUUCUGCAAAAUACGGAAGAGUUAUCUUCUUUAGACUGGUUUUUUUUUAUUUGGUUUAUAUCGUGUACUUUAGUGUCCCCUAUUCACUGAUGUAGAGUUUUUUUUAAUAUAAUGGGACAAUCUUCCAUGCUAAUUUAUUUCUUUGAUUUCUCCCACUCUUAAUAUUAGAAAUUAUUUCAAUGUUGAGAUAUGGAGUUUUGAAUGCUCAUGAAUGGUUGUCUAUACAUGCUUUCGGAAAGAUUUUGAUUUAUGAGUUGUAAAGAAAUCCUAAUAAUAAUAUAUAAACUUA
rnacentral:lncRNA from 1 species